rnacentral:rRNA from 1 species
AUACGUAGGGUGCAAGCGUUGUUCGGAAUCACUGGGCGUAAAGGGCGUGUAGGCGGAGAAGUAAGCCAGAGGUGAAAGCCCGGGGCUCAACCCCGGAGGGUCUUUUGGAACUGCUUUUCUUGAGAGGGUUAGAGGUUAGCGGAAUUCCUGGUGUAGCGGUGAAAUGCGUAGAUAUCAGGAGGAACACCGGAGGCGAAAGCGGCUAGCUGGGGCCAAUCUGACGCUGAGGCGCGAAAGCAUGGGGAGCAAACGGGAUUAGAAACCCGGGUAGUCC